rnacentral:misc_RNA from 1 species
GAUGAAGAACGUAGCGAAAUGCGAUAAGUAAUGUGAAUUGCAGAAUUCAGUGAAUCAUAGAAUCUUUGAACGCACAUUGCGCCCCUUGGUAUUCCAUGGGGCAUGCCUGUUCGAGCGUCAUUUGUACCUUCAAGCUCUGCUUGGUGUUGGGUGUUUGUCUCGCCUCUGCGUGUAGACUCGCCUCAAAACAAUUGGCAGCCGGCGUAUUGAUUUCGGAGCGCAGUACAUCUCGCGCUUUGCACUCAUAACGACGACGUCCAAAAGUACAUUUUUACACUCUUGACCUCGGAUCAGGUAGGGAUACCCGCUGAACUUAAGCAUAUCAAUAAGCGGAGGA